rnacentral:rRNA from 1 species
GAUGAACGCUGGCGGCGUGCCUAAUACAUGCAAGUAGAACGCUGAAGGAGGAGCUUGCUCUUCUGGAUGAGUUGCGAACGGGUGAGUAACGCGUAGGUAACCUGCCUGGUAGCGGGGGAUAACUAUUGGAAACGAUAGCUAAUACCGCAUGACAACAGUUAUUGCAUGAUAACUGUUUAAAAGGGGCAACUGCUCCACUACCAGAUGGACCUGCGUUGUAUUAGCUAGUUGGUGAGGUAACGGCUCACCAAGGCGACGAUACAUAGCCGACCUGAGAGGGUGAUCGGCCACACUGGGACUGAGACACGGCCCAGACUCCUACGGGAGGCAGCAGUAGGGAAUCUUCGGCAAUGGACGGAAGUCUGACCGAGCAACGCCGCGUGAGUGAAGAAGGGUGUCGGAUCGGAAAGCUCUGUUGUAAGAGAAGAACGAGUGUGAGAGUGGAAAGUUCACACUGUGACGGUAUCUGACCAGAAAGGGACGGCUAACUACGUG